rnacentral:lncRNA from 1 species
GUAUAUGCACCUACAAGGCAAGUGCACCACCCUUCGAUUUACUCUAGCUUCGCCACUGCCACAAGCCGGUGUCAUUUCGCAACCCACCAGAGAUUUCGGCGGCAACAACAACAGCACAGUUCUCAUUCAGAAGCCGGAGUCAUUUCAGCGCAACAGUUUGUUCAGGCUAAAAGAAGAUUUUUUUUUUCUUUUUUGGCUAGUCGUCAAGAAUCCACCAAAGGGUGGAGAAUGGCAUCACACACUCCGUUUUCAUGGCUAAUGGCGAUGACUGUCCACUUAACCAUUCGCCCAUUUGCAUUUUCUAUUUAUUGAAUACUUCCAGGGGCUCGUCUCGCUUCUAUGUACAUAGCGACAUAUAUGAAAAGAGCUUAGUAACUUUGUGUUGCCGAGAAUACAUGCAACAACAUCAAAAUGCAAAUAACUGUAUUUGCAAACUUUAUUUCGCAGACAACACUACGCGUCAUCAACCAACAGCUUUCACCAACAUCCUGGCGAGGAGCUUUGCCAUCAGGAACACUGACAAUGAGUUAAUGUCAAAAUAAUUUAAAAGCGCCAGAGGAGCUCAUUUCACCGCUCCUCGUGUAUUCCCCCAUAAAAAUGAAUAGGAUAAGACAAAAAAUCACUCAGUCAAAAAAGCACUUCACAUAUGAGUGUUUAGGUGCAUCACAGAUAUGUCAGAGAGGGCGUCUUAUUAAGAAUAUCUACAAACGUGCGUACCUAUAUGUGACUGUGAUUAAAAUAGAACACACAUCUGUGUGAAUAACAACACUCAGACAUGUGUACUAUACACGGGUCUGUAGUAUGGAUAACAGUACAAACACGUUCUUUAAGCGCAUCUAUUUUAGUGAACAUUAUAUAGACGUUCAUGCUCUACACGUGUCUGAAGGUAGAUUACUACUAUAGACGCCAGCGGUGAACGUGUCUGUCAACAUGCAUCUGUAAUUGUGAUGCUAAUACAGAUGUUGUCAUUAUGCGUCUGUAGUGAGGAGCAAACUACAGACUUCUAUUUUGUCAGUGCGUCUGUAGUAAUGUUUUUCUUACCAUAGACGUGUCUAGGACACAUACCCAUCUGUAGUAAGAAAAAUACUACAAAUGUGUAUCAUAGGCACGUGAUCAUGGUCGAAAAAAUGUUGUGAUCAUCUACAACUAUUUCGCAUGUAUCAACUGUUGGAAUAUUUAGGUGUUAUACAUGGCGAGGUUGUUGGUGUGUGGG